CAGUUCUUCAUGAUGUGCAGCAGUUGCCCUGCUGGGUCACAAACUUGUGCAGAGCUGUGCUUGUCACCUGGGCAGCCAUGAUCAGCAUCUGCCUGGCCCUUGCACAGAGAGCCUAUUAGCACACCAUCUUCCAUACCUGUGAUUCAGGAAGGUGAGGGAAAAGAAGAAAAAAUGUUUUACUGCUUGGCAAUUAUAUGGAGCCAUGUUAGUCACAAAAUGAAUCUUUACAAUGUAUUAAUUAGAACAAAAGAGAAUAACACCACAAAUUUUACAGCUAAAAUGGGCUUUGUUCUGGCCAACUUUGUUCAUAAAUCAAUCUCCUAUAACAGACUGUUACAACAGCUUGUAUUCACAAUUGGUAGAGCUCAGUCAGCAUGUUUUUAUGAAUGCAUCUUCUCUCAUUAUAUAGAGAUACUCAGCUCCUCAGACCCCAAAAGUUCUUGAAGUUUGAGACCAUAAAUCUAAAGCAGAUAUCAAAUAAGGUUCUUUUUACUUGCCUGAACUGCUCUAAACUCCCAGUACCCACAUGUAGCAUACAGUGCAUUUCCUUUACUGAGAGCUCUUUCUGAAAACUGUACCCAGGCUGACUUCAGAGGCAUGACCAGUUUUGUUUCAGCCUGCAGUUUGCUCAAAGCAGUUUCAUUCCCCUGUUGAGAAAAUGCCUAAUGUUGAGCACAAUCUGUUAUGCCCAGGUCAGUUAUGUCUUAAAUAGUCAGAGCGAUGACAAUAGCUGUGUGAGAGUAAUCACUAUGCAAGUAUGUUGGACAAGGGUUGAAUAAGGUUUAAAUGAAUUUAAUAUGCUUUUAAAGUGAAUAAAAGGCACCAAAGUUCUCCUGUUAUUGUAGCUUCACAAAUGGUGUCUGCUUGGUCUGAUGAAGUAUUUAAGUCUUUGUACGUGCACAAAAAGGAUAAUUAAGCAGUAAUUGCAUUUGAUGUAGAGUGUAUGGUGGGAGGUGGGGGAUAAACAGCUUGUGAAUCAAUAAACCAUGAGGCUGCAGGCUGAGUUAUUUAUUGAUUUAUGACCUGCUUGGCUUCAAGUUUACUCCACAUCUAGUGCAAUUAUGCCUUCUGGAUUAUGCUUCAUUUAAGGAGGAGGGAAACUAUAUGGUUUAAUCUGAGGAAACAUGCUGUCUGCAUUGAUAAUAUCUUUUGGUGUUAGGCACUGUUGUGUUGCCAGAUACAUUUUGAUCAGUUGUGGCAUCUCAUGUGCUGUCUACCUGAUUUCUAUGUGAAAAGCCAUAACAAGCCACACCACAAAAGAAUUGCAUAGCAAACCUAUUGGAAUCCACCAAGCCAUUUUAUCGAGGUUGACCUGUGCUGAUAUAUAACUUCAUGGAACAAUAUUACUUACACUAAUAACAGUUGUCUCGCCUGUGAGAGCCAGUGAUCUUUUCAACCUGCGAGCAAUGCAAGGGACAAAAGCCAGGACUUCAAUUCCAUUCAAUACUGAACAACUAUGUGGCAAGUAUCUUGCUUGCUGGGGUGUAUCUGAAGCAGAGAGAAAACUUCCAUCCAGAAACCCUGAACAGCAAAUGUGUAUUUCUCUGUUUUUGAUCCAUUUUUUGCCCCUUCAAAAUUCUCUGUGAUUCCCAAAUUACUUUCCAG
rnacentral:lncRNA from 7 species